AUCAUUAUAACAAUAAUAUAAUAUUAUUAUUCUCAUCUCUUGAUCACAAUCCCAAUUCAGGGUUUGGAUCUCAUAUCUGACUUCUCUUUCUUACACAACAUCAGUAAUCAAGUUAAAAUAGUUAACUUAAUUAUUCUGAACAAAUCAUAUAAUAAAAUAUUUAUUAUAUAAUUUCAAUUAUCACUUCAUAUAUUAUUUCCAAUCAUGUUUUCAUGGAAAAUAAUUAAUAAAAAAAA
rnacentral:lncRNA from 1 species